UACGUAGGGUGCAAGCGUUUAAUCGGAAUUACUGGGCGUAAAGCGUGCGCAGGCGGCUUUGCAAGACAGAUGUGAAAUCCCCCGGGCUCAACCUGGGAACUGCAUUUGUGACUGCAUGGCUAGAGUGCGGCAGAGGGGGGAUGGAAUUCCGCGUGUAGCAGUGAAAUGCGUAGAUAUGCGGAGGAACACCGAUGGCGAAGGCAAUCCCCUGGGCCUGCACUGACGCUCAUGCACGAAAGCGUGGGGAGCAAACAGG
rnacentral:rRNA from 1 species